rnacentral:rRNA from 1 species
GAUGAACGCUGGCGGCGUGCUUAAUACAUGCAAGUCGAGCGAACAGACGAGGAGCUUACUCCUCUGACGUUAGCGGCGGACGGGUGAGUAACACGUGGUCAACCUACCUAUAAGACUUGGAUAACUUCGGGAAACCGUAGCUAAUACCGGAUAAUAUAUUGAACCGCAUGGUUCAAUAGUGUAAGACGGAUUUGCUGUUAUUUCUACAUGGAUCCGCGUCGCUUUAGUUAGUUGGUAAGGAAACGGCUUACCAAGGCAACGAUGGGUAGCCGACCUGAGAGGGUGGUCGCCCACAUUGGAACAGAGGCACAGUCCAGGCUCCUGCGGGAAGCAGCAGUAGUGAAUCUUCCGCAAUAGGGGUAAGCCUUCCAGAGCGACGCCACGUCAGAUAUGGAGAUCUUCGGAUCGUGAGACGCGGUUAUGCGGUGAAAACUAAUUUCGAAGUAAAUAUGCACGUCUUGACGGUACCUAGUCAGAAAGCCACGGCUAACUACGUG